rnacentral:rRNA from 1 species
UCCACGCUGUAAACGAUGCCGACUAGGUGUUGGUGGUAUUGACCCCAUCAGUGCCGAAGCUAACGCGAUAAGUUGGCCGCCUGGGGACUACGAGCGCAAGCUUAAAACUCAAAGGAAUUGACGGGGGCCCGCACAAGCAGCGGAGCGUGUGGUUUAAUUCGAUGCAACACGAAGAACCUUACCUGGGCUUGACAUGCUGGUAGUAGUGAAGGGAAAGCGGAACGAUCCUUCGGGAAGCCAGUACAGGUGCUGCAUGGCUGUCGUCAGCUCGUGCUGUGAAGUGUCGGGUUAAGUCCCUUA